UGCAUGGCUGUCGUCAGCUCGUGUCGUGAGAUGUUGGGUUAAGUCCCGCAACGAGCGCAACCCUUAUUCUUAGUUGUUUCCCUUUGGGAUUACCCUCUAAGAAGACUGCCUCGGAUAACGGGGAGGAAGUGGGAUGACGUCAAGUCCGCAUGCUCCUUACGUCUAGGGCUACACACGUCCUACAAUGGGGUCGACAAUGGGAUGCAAUAUCGCAAGAUGGAGCCAAUCCCCAAACGGCCUCUCAGUUCGGAUUGUAGGCUGCAACUCGCCUACAUGAAGUCGGAAUCGCUAGUAAUCGCGGAUCAGCAUGUCGCGGUGAAUACGUUCCCGGGUCUU
rnacentral:rRNA from 1 species